UACAGAGGGGGCAAGCGUUAUUCGGAAUUAUUGGGCGUAAAGGGCGCGUAGGCGGCUUUUUAAGUCACGGGUGAAAUCCCUCGGCUUAACCGAGGAACUGCCUGUCAGACUGUGAGGCUUGAGUCCGGGAGAGGUGAGUGGAAUUCCCAGUGUAGCGGUGAAAUGCGUAGAUAUUGGGAGGAACACCAGUGGCGAAGGCGGCUCACUGGACCGAAACUGACGCUGAGGCGCGAAAGCGUGGGGAGCAAACAGG
rnacentral:rRNA from 1 species